GAUGAACGCUAGCGGCAGGCCUAACACAUGCAAGUCGAGGGAGAAGCCCUUUCGGGGGCAGAAACCGGCGCACGGGUGCGUAACGCGUAUGCAACCUACCUUUCACAGGGGGAUAGCCCGAAGAAAUUUGGAUUAAUACCCCAUAAUAUUAUUGGAUGGCAUCAUUUGAUAAUUAAAACUGCGGUGGUGAAAGAUGGGCAUGCGUCCUAUUAGCUAGUUGGAGUGGUAACGGCACCCCAAGGCUACGAUAGGUAGGGGUCCUGAGAGGGAGAUCCCCCACACGGGGAUAGGGAAAGGGACACCAGACCCACGGGGGGAGGCAGAGAGGAAAAUUGUGGAAAGGGGGGGAAACUGAAACCGCCCCACCGCGUGGAGAAAAAAAGCGUUUUGGGUGUUAAAAUCUGUUUUUAUGGGGAAAAAAAGGGGUAUGUGUGUGGUUAUGAGGGGACCAAAGGAAAAAAAACCGGGUAAAACCCU
rnacentral:rRNA from 1 species